rnacentral:lncRNA from 1 species
UGUACCUUUACAAUUCUCAACAUCUUUUAUUCUAGCCUCAAGAUCACAUAGUCUUAUGGAUAGCACAAUAAAUUAUAGUGUUCUAGUUAAGUCGACCCUUCAAUCCCAUAUGGUUAUAUUUAAACAAUGCUAUCUUUGUAGAUAGCACAACAAAGCAACACCAUUCAAUAUGCCAUAAGCAUCAAUAUGCACUUGAUCAACAUCAUACCAAUUUCUAUUAGUAAACUUUGUGGAUAGCACAAUAAGCUCACUAAGAUUUUGACAUACUCUAUCGAUCAAGUUUGAAGGAAGGCUCUUGUAAUGUCUAAUCAAUCUAAGUCUGAAAAUCAACA